GUAAACGCAAAUGCUCACUAGGAAGAGUGCCUGUGCAUUCGGCUAGUCAUUUCUGUAAAAGACAAGACGUGGGUGCAACAGUCAAUACGUCCAUCUAAAAAAGAAAUAGGAAGUGCGGGAAUGCAGAAAACACAUAAGGUUCCUUCUGACGAUGCAAAUAUGAUCAGUAUCAAAGAUGCUCACCAGAAUGACCAGCCAUAGUCCCAUGUGUGAGGCCUCCAGUCUUCAGGUCCCAAGCUGACUGUAAUCUGGAACACUUGUGUGUACAUCAUGUGGGCCACCAUUCCCAGAAGACCUGUUGAGUAAUCCACAUGUCCACUGGAAUUAAAGAGGAGCAUUAAGGCCCCAAAUGAAAAGGGCUAUUGGGUAUUCAGCAAAUCAAAUAAUCAAAAAUUCAAAAAGCAGCAGCUGUUCUGGCUUUAUAAAUUGUGAGGUGGGGACAUGGGUGGAGGCCUACCUGACAGCACGGUGAAGACUGCGGCGAAGGCGUUCAGUUUGAGUCCAUCGAUCACAUUACUGGAGUGAAAAAGCUCCAGGCACAUCAGACUGAAGCCAACGACCAGCAGCAUGAUGUAUAGCACCUCAGACACAACUGACAGCCAAAGGACACCUGCAAUACACACACACAUACACAGGCACACUGGUGAGCAAAGCGCUCAGCUCCUGCUCCAUAAUUCUCUUUGCCGCUUUUAUUCACGCGAUUAGAUUCAAGUGGAAUUUUAGCAACUCGCCCCCUGCUAAUAAAACAGACAUGGGCUGGACAUAUUUCUGCAUAUCACAUGCACUGUAAAAGGUGUUUUUUUACUUUGCUUAAAAAAGUGAGUAAACCUGUUGCAGUUAAAGGGGACAAGCUGACUUUACCUAAAAAAACAAACUUUGUAACUUGGAAUUAUGUUGAUUAAACUUAAUUUUUAUAAUU
rnacentral:lncRNA from 1 species